rfam:Oryza barthii chromosome 1, whole genome shotgun sequence.
GGUUUGACACGCCCUAGAUUACCGUGCCAACGUUUGACUGUCCAUCUUAUAUAAAAAUUUUUUAUAAUUAAUAUUUUCAUUAUUGUUAGAUAAUAAAAUAUGAUUAAUACUUUAUACAUGACUUAUUUUUUUAAAUAAGACGAACGGUCAAAGAUUUGGGACGGAGGGAGGUACACGGCUACA